rnacentral:rRNA from 1 species
GUGCCAGCCGCCGCGGUAAUACAGAGGGGGCGAGCGUUAUUCGGAAUUAUUGGGCGUAAAGGGCGCGUAGGCGGCAAGGUAAGUCAAAGGUGAAAUCCCUCGGCUCAACUGAGGAACUGCCUUUGAAACUGCCUAGCUUGAGGCCGGGAGAGGGUAGUGGAAUUCCCAGUGUAGCGGUGAAAUGCGUAGAUACUGGGAGGAACACCAGUGGCGAAGGCGGCUACCUGGACCGGUUCUGACGCUGAUGCGCGAAAGCGUGGGGAGCAAACAGGAUUAGAAACCCCUGUAGUCC